GACGAACGCUGGCGGCGUGCCUAAUACGUGCAAGUAGAACGCUGAAGGAGGAGCUUGCUCUUCUGGAUGAGUUGCGAACGGGUGAGUAACGCGUAGGUAACCUGCCUGGUAGCGGGGGAUAACUAUUGGAAACGAUAGCUAAUACCGCAUAACAGUAGAUGUUGCAUGACAUUUGCUUAAAAGGUGCAAUUGCACCACUACCAGAUGGACCUGCGUUGUAUUAGCUAGUUGGUGGGGUAACGGCUCACCAAGGCGACGAUACAUAGCCGACCUGAGAGGGUGAUCGGCCACACUGGGACUGAGACACGGCCCAGACUCCUACGGGAGGCAGCAGUAGGGAAUCUUCGGCAAUGGACGGAAGUCUGACCGAGCAACGCCGCGGGAGGGAAGAAGGGUGUCGGAUCGUAAAGCUCUGUUGUAAGAGAAGAACGAGUGUGAGAGUGGAAAGUUCACACUGUGACGGUAUCUUACCAGAAAGGGACGGCUAACUACGUG
rnacentral:rRNA from 1 species